rnacentral:misc_RNA from 1 species
CUUAUUUCUUCUUCUAUAUAUAUGCUUCAUAGUAUUACAUGAUCCUUUAAUGGUAUUGCGCGAUUUCCUUUGAUCAAAUAAUGUUAAUAUAAUGUAUUUUAAGAUGCAAUAUGAAUGAGGACAACUUUCUCCACGUAUAAACACUCAUCUAUUUAAAUCAGUCGAUCCAGUCAAGAAACUUGUUAUGUUAAAAUUGGCAGAGAUUGACAGAACAAUCCACGAUAUGGUGUAUGCUGUUAAUCCCUAAUUUGAUGUUUAAUAACGUAAAAAAAUGGGAAGGACGUAGAGAUCCAUUAUACAGAAUGGUCGAUUGACGUGGAACUCAAUGGGCUUCGGC